GACGUAGGGUGCAAGCGUUGUCCGGAUUUAUUGGGCGUAAAGAGCUCGUAGGCGGCUUGUUGCGUCGACUGUGAAAACCCGCGGCUUAACCGCGGGCUUGCAGUUGAUACGGGCAGGCUAGAGUUCGGUAGGGGAGACUGGAAUUCCUGGUGUAGCGGUGAAAUGCGCAGAUAUCAGGAGGAACACCGGUGGCGAAGGCGGGUCUCUGGGCCGAUACUGACGCUGAGGAGCGAAAGUGUGGGGAGCGAACAGG
rnacentral:rRNA from 1 species